GCAUUAGGUUUUGUUUGGAUCCACAUGUGUUGGAGUAGAUUGGGGUGGAAUUUAGUUCAAGUUCUACCCUAAUCCACCCCAACACAUGUGGAUUGAUGCGAAUCCGACU
rfam:Sorghum bicolor cultivar BTx623 chromosome 10, whole genome shotgun sequence.